UACGUAGGAGGCGAGCGUUGUCCGGAAUUACUGGGCGUAAAGCGCGUGUAGGCGGUCCGCUUUGUCGGGGAUGAAAGCCCUCUGCUCAACGGGGGGAGGUUUCUCGAAACGGGCGGACUUCGUGGAGUCUGGUAGGGGGGUGCGGAAUGGCCGGUGGAGCGGUGAAAUGCGUAGAGAUCGGUCAGAACACCAGUGGCGAAGGCGGCACCCUGGGCCAGUACUGACGCUGAGACGCGAAAGCGUGGGGAGCGAACGGA
rnacentral:rRNA from 1 species